AGAGUGAAUAUGACCCAUUUGGUGCUGGACAUGGAUGCAACAGUGUUUCUGCUGGACUGGGAUGUUACUAAAAGAAUCAGAAAGGGUAUGCAUGAAUUGGCGGCCAAAGUUGAUGAUAUGGACGUGGUAUGAUGGGUCCGCUAGGAUCAACUCUAUUCGAAGAGCUUGGGUUGUAUUAUAUUGACCCAGUUGAUGGCCAAAAUAUGGAAGAUUUGAUUUCAGUUCUCCAGGAAGUGGCUUCUUUGGAUUCAACAGGACCUGUUUUGUAAUUGCUUCCUUCUGUCCAUGGUGGGUUCAUGUACCAUCUCUGAAUUCUACCGAGGACAUAAUUGCUUCCUCCUGUCCUAGCGGCUUUAAUCUUUCUUUCUAAGUUGUCCUUUUAUAUGUUAGGAAACCUAUGUAAAUUUAUUUGAUGUUGCUUCUGUUUUCCCUUAAGAAACAGCCAAUUGUAAUGUUGAUCCAUUACCUUCUUAUCCAAAGCUCAGGCAUGAGUCUGUCUUGGCAUUGAUGUUAAUGUAAACAUGAAUGUUGACAUGAA